rnacentral:rRNA from 1 species
UACGUAGGCAGCAAGCGUUGUUCGGAGUUACUGGGCGUAAAGGGUGCGUAGGCGGCUCUAUAAGUAUGGUGUGAAAUCUCCCGGCUUAACUGGGAGGGUGCGCUAUAGACUGUGGGGGCUAGAGUGUGGGAGAGGAAAAGUGGAAUUCCUGGUGUACGGUGAAAAUGCGUAGAUAUCAGGAGGAACACCGGUGGUGUAAA